UCCAGCAGCUAUAUCACCCUGCAGCUCUCAACUGGUUACCCAGUGAAGCUCAGCAGGGUUGAGCCUGGUCAGUACCUGGAUGGGUGACUCCUGGGAAGCUGUGGUUGCUGCUGGAA
rnacentral:rRNA from 1 species